rnacentral:rRNA from 1 species
CACGUAGGUGACAAGCGUUGUCCGGAUUUACUGGGCGUAAAGAGCGCGCAGGCGGUCGUUCAAGUCGCGUGUGAAAGCCCCCGGCUCAACUGGGGAGGGUCACGCGAUACUGAUCGACUCGAAGGCAGGAGAGGGUAGUGGAAUUCCCGGUGUAGUGGUGAAAUGCGUAGAUAUCGGGAGGAACACCAGUGGCGAAGGCGACUACCUGGCCUGUUUCUUGACGCUGAGGCGCGAAAGCUAGGGGAGCGAACGGG